AGAAUUGCCUAAUGCGUAGUUUAAAAGAAAUAAAGUACAGUAUUUGCCACAGACGGUUGAAGAAAAAUCUUGAAUUUGAGAAAUAUUGUAAGACCACAUCAUAGCAUUUUUUCUAAGAAAUUUUAAAAUAUUCGGAGGCGGCUGAUUUCCAAAACUAUCAAAGAAGUAUGCGAAACCAAAUUUAUCAAUGUAAACAGCCAUCCAAUGACUACCCGGGAGGUAAUCAGGGUCUCUGUUGAUAAUAACCAUAGAGGGUCUGGUGAUUAGGACAGGUAGAGUGUUAUACGCAGAAACAAGAACGUGGUGUCUUUUCUUCCGAGAGAUCAUCUCCAGACACGUUUUGAGUUGUAAAGUAUUCAUUGUACCAACUAGCCAAGUUUUGUACGUUUUGAACAGCGCACACCGAAUCGCUGAUUAUAUGAUUCACACAACAAUUCGUAUCAAAAUGUUCUCUCAAGUAACGAAGCGAUGGACACUCUAAAUCUUCAAUGUUUACAAUUUGACUUUUUGGUAAACGUUUCAAAAGUAGACGCUUCUUAUCUAUUCCUUUCACGUAUAUACACUUUGAAUUUUUCGUAGUUUCAUUCAAUAUUUCAGACAACUUUUCGUAGUCGUAAUUACCGCAGUUCCAAGAAAGCCCGUGAAAGUUAUUCGUCAACCAAUCGGCUUGCUUCUGAUAACGAUGCGGUAAGGUUGAAAGAUCAUCGGGUGGUUUAAACAAAAAGAUGUCUGGUGCGCUUUUGUUCGUAUUAAAUACAGCUAAUUCUUUUAUGGUUAAAGUUUCGGUACAAUUACCGUAAUUGAACCCUUGAAAAUCCACAAACACAACCAUUUCGGAUGACGGGUAAAAUGAAAGUAGCAAAUUUUUCAUUUGUAAUAGCAAUUUAUUUAUCACUUAUAUAAAUUUAUCAACUACUAUAAUCUACAAUUACAUUACGUUUUUUAUCAAUUUCUAUUACACUAUCAAAUUCACCAUACACUAAACAAUUGACAGUUUCUGUAAGAGCAGUGUUAAAACCAACUUCUAUUCGUAAACUUCCGUAAGAUUCCACACCUUCUAGCCAUUUAUUAAUUUUUUUCUUAUGUAUAUUUGUAAACUUAGCUAAGUUGUUAGGACUCGAAAAACCAAGAGGGUCACGAGGUAUAAAAUAUCUUUCCUUUAUUUCAUCCAUUUUUGUCUACUUGCUUUCAUACGGCGACCAAGGAACUCUCAAGCGUUUUUGUUUUCUUGAUGACGAUCGCAUUGAUUUCUUCGUUAUUUGACUAUCCUCUUCUUCUUCUUCUUCUUCUGUGUCAAACUUUGACGACGAUAUUGGUUUUACUUUCACUUCGUUUUUUACUUCUUGCUUUUCAGCACCUUGUUCAUUUAUAUAUUUCAAACGUUUUGGAUUAAUUAUAAGAGUACGUGGAACGUUUAUUUUAUACAAAAUUUCCGCAAAAUUUUUCCAUCCGACAGGCUCGGCAUUUAACUUAUUACUACUCUUCAUAACAUCAGUGAUUAGAUCAAAUAUAUUGGAACCAGGAAUUGUGUUUCCAUCGUAGAUAACGUUUCCGGUUUCAUUCCAUGCAACUCCAUUGUGUGUUAAAUUGUUUAACAAAGCAUUCGCUUUAACUUGUAAGGGUCUUGGUAGGGAACUCAAAAUGUUUCGAGUAAUUCGUUCAGAUUGUUCUAAUUGAUUUUCUUUAGAAUAAAUCACAGGUAUGGUAACAGGUUCACGAGAACGACUUAUCAUUUUUAGAUAUCUUUGAAGCACUUGAUUAUACAAAAUCCAUUUUUCAUUAUCAUCAAUGUUUUUCGUAUCUAUGAUUCUUUUCAUUUCAUGAUCUAAAUCAUUUAGGGUGUUUGGCUGAGUGCUUUUGUUAUUAUGCAAACGUUCAAGUUCGGAUGAAUCAAUGAGUACCAUUUUUUUCGUAUGUUCCAUUAUUUAUUAAAUAAAUGACCCAACACACCCGAAAUUAUUGGAGCCAACAACAAUGGUAUGUAUGCAUAAGAAGGUUCUUCAUCAGGUAGAAUAUUUGUUCGAAUACGGAAUUCAUCUGGAGUAUCUUGUUUUAAAUCAAUCAACAAAUAACCAUGCGGUCUCAUUGUGGCAUCCUUAUAAGCUUCCUGGAUAAAUUUUAUAUUUUCAGGAAAAAUCUGUCUAGCUAAGAAAUUAAUUUGAGCUUUAUCACGAGGAUUUUUAAAAUAAACGAUAUAGUUCGCA